rnacentral:ncRNA from 1 species
GGAGGUAGGCCCUCCGGUCAGGGGUUGCAGGACUACUGAUCAAACAACCUGAUGCUGCUGGUUUCUAAGGAGAUUGGUGGUGAGCGUUUCAGAAAAAGGCUGGGAUACUACCGUCACGUG